rnacentral:rRNA from 1 species
GAGCUUGCUCCUGGAUUAGUGGCGAACGGGUGAGUAACACGUGAGUAACCUGCCCUUAACUCUGGGAUAAGCCUGGGAAACUGGGUCUAAUACCGGAUAUGACUCCUCAUCGCAUGGUGGGGGGUGGAAAGCUUUAUUGUGGUUUUGGAUGGACUCGCGGCCUAUCAGCUUGUUGGUGAGGUAAUGGCUUACCAAGGCGACGACGGGUAGCCGGCCUGAGAGGGUGACCGGCCACACUGGGACUGAGACACGGCCCAGACUCCUACGGGAGGCAGCAGUGGGGAAUAUUGCACAAUGGGCGCAAGCCUGAUGCAGCGACGCCGCGUGAGGGAUGACGGCCUUCGGGUUGUAAACCUCUUUCAGUAGGGAAGAAGCGAAAGUGACGGUACCUGCAGAAGAAGCGCCGGCUAACUACGUGCCAGCAGCCGCGGUAAUACGUAGGGCGCAAGCGUUAUACGGAAUUAUUGGGCGUAAAGAGCUCGUAGGCGGUUUGUCGCGUCUGCCGUGAAAGUCCGGGGCUCAACUCCGGAUCUGCGGUGGGUACGGGCAGACUAGAGUGAUGUAGGGGAGACUGGAAUUCCUGGUGUAGCGGUGAAAUGCGCAGAUAUCAGGAGGAACACCGAUGGCGAAGGCAGGUCUCUGGGCAUUAACUGACGCUGAGGAGCGAAAGCAUGGGGAGCGAACAGGAUUAGAUACCCUGGUAGUCCAUGCCGUAAACGUUGGGCACUAGGUGUGGGGGACAUUCCACGUUUUCCGCGCCGUANCUAACGCAUUAAGUGCCCCGCCUGGGGNAGUACCGGCCGCAAGGCUAAAACUCAANGAAUUGACGGGGGCCCGCACAAGCGG